rnacentral:misc_RNA from 1 species
GUAACAAGGUUUCCGUAGGUGAACCUGCGGAAGGAUCAUUACAGUAUUCUUUUUGCCAGCGCUUAAUUGCGCGGCGAAAAAACCUUACACACAGUGUUUUUUGUUAUUACAAGAACUUUUGCUUUGGUCUGGACUAGAAAUAGUUUGGGCCAGAGGUUUACUGAACUAAACUUCAAUAUUUAUAUUGAAUUGUUAUUUAUUUAAUUGUCAAUUUGUUGAUUAAAUUCAAAAAAUCUUCAAAACUUUCAACAACGGAUCUCUUGGUUCUCGCAUCGAUGAAGAACGCAGCGAAAUGCGAUAAGUAAUAUGAAUUGCAGAUUUUCGUGAAUCAUCGAAUCUUUGAACGCACAUUGCGCCCUCUGGUAUUCCAGAGGGCAUGCCUGUUUGAGCGUCAUUUCUCUCUCAAACCUUCGGGUUUGGUAUUGAGUGAUACUCUUAGUUGAACUAGGCGUUUGCUUGAAAUGUAUUGGCAUGAGUGGUACUGGAUAGUGCUAUAUGACUUUCAAUGUAUUAGGUUUAUCCAACUCGUUGAAUAGUUUAAUGGUAUAUUUCUCGGUAUUCUAGGCUCGGCCUUACAAUAUAACAAACAAGUUUGACCUCAAAUCAGGUAGGAUUACCCGCUGAACCUAAGCAU